rnacentral:rRNA from 1 species
UACGUAGGGGGCAAGCGUUGUCCGGAAUCAUUGGGCGUAAAGCGCGCGUAGGCGGCCCGGUAAGUCCGCUCUGAAAGUCCAGGGCUCAACCCUGGAAAGCGGGUGGAUACUGCCGGGCUAGAAUCCGGAAGAGGCGAGUGGAAUUCCUGGUGUAGCGGUGAAAUGCGCAGAUAUCAGGAGGAACACCAAUUGCGAAGGCAGCUCGCUGGGACGUUACUGACGCUGAGGCACGAAAGCGUGGGGAGCAAACAGG